CAGUGAGUUGAAAUCCGACCGACUAACUCAGUGAGUUGGAAGUCAUACAAACUACUCUUAAAAUUUUAAAAUUGGGAAGUGGCACGCGAUUUCAGUUCUCACUUAAGAAGUGGUAUGAAGGUUCAGCUUUCGAGAAAGCAGCUUAAACCAACGGGACCGUCGUCGGGGCUUCACUGCUCGUGUGCCAAACAAAAACCCCCACCUAGGAACCCAAGAAUCCUUAAUCAGACGCCUUCAAACGGUAUGAGACCACCAUAGGAAGUUCCAGAUUCCGUCUCAAGAAGAACGGCAACGACGGCUGGUGCCAUCGAUUUCUGUCUCCCCUGACAGUUAAGAUGGAUGGUACCUUGACAACAGAAACAAUCCUCUUGCAAUCAACGUUGGCCUGAUUGAGGUUUAGGGCCAAGAACAGGAGGAGUGGUCUAAUAGAUCAUGAACAAAUGACACCUCUACCGUUUUUUUCUUUUGACAUGACAUUUAUGUUGUCAGAAUAAUGCUUUAAAAGAGUUUUGUCCAAUAUCUCAUCAGAUCAGGAAUAUGAUACGGUGACUCACAUUCUACUCUGUUGUUGAGAGAAUGAGGAUUCUUUUUAUUGUAUUGAAACUAUAUGAAAUCUGAGUUUCAGUAGAAUAGGGAUCUUAGUAUUGUGAUUGAAAGUCUUGCUGCCUUGCAGGUCUAAUAAGAUCAGCAAAUUCUUUUCAGUCUUCUUUGUGGGCCUUAAACAUUUGGCUAUGUGUCCUUUUACUAUUUUAGAUUUUGAUGAUUUGUUAUUUGACAUUCUGAAAAUGUAAAAUUUGCCCAUUAUGUUGUUGAGAUAUCCUGAGUUCAAAAUGUUAGUAUAGCAAGGGUCACACAGAUUCUGCUUAGCAACUAAUAAGUAAAUUACUGACUAGUUUUUUUUUAGUGGCACUUAAAACUUCUAGAAUUUGGUAAUAUAAAGUAUCAGUUAUUUUCAUAGAAUGAGACUUGUGUAAAUGAGCACACUUGAUGCUAAGGACCUAUGCUUCGUAAGACCUGUGUUAUUUUAGUCAUUUCCUUGUCAUGAUGCUAGGAACACUAUGCUGUUCCAGCAUUUUGCUUGAAUUCUAUUCUCAUGUUCAAGAAAUUGAUUUUACUGGGUGAGUUGGAGGAGGACCUAUAAUCUUUGUCCAGUUGCCUUGUGCACUGUCUGCUUUGCAUGCAAUUCGGAUGCCUGUAGUUGAUUUUCUUAUAGACUCAUUUUGAACAAAAUCUGGACCCUAAUGGGCCACUAACUGGUAGGAUCUCAAGUCCUUUUUUGGAGCCAGAAUUGGGAGGUGUCAAACUUUCAUGAGACACGCUGCUAACCAUAAUCUCUCAAAAUGAUAUGAAAUUUGUCAUAUUUACACCAGUGCAUGGAAAGAGAUAACCUAUGUCACACGGUGCGGAUGCGAUAUGGGUGCGGAUACGGGGAUACGGGUGCGGAUAUGGCAAUUUUCAAAAUUUUCGGAUACGCGGACACGGCUACAUUAAAUAUUCUAAAAAUGAUAAAAUUAAAAAAAAACAUUAAAUUAAUAGUUCACUCUUACAAUCUUGUGAGAAAAUGUGUUUUAUCACAAAAGUACUGAAUAUCUGAAAGGAUUGUUCAUGGAACUAAUUGGAUACAUCACAAAAAAUUGAUAAAAUGAAAAAAAAAAACAUUAAAUGUUUAAUUUUUAUUUUUUGCCGUAUCCUAGCCGAGUCCCAUGUCAGAAUCGCCAUCUCGGCGAGUCGACACGGGUACGUGGCCUCUUUAGCCGCGUCCGUGUGACAUAGGAGAUAACACCUUUCAAUGUAUGUUGUCAGGAGCUUUCAUCAAGAUACAUACAUGGUCAGCCUUAUAUGCGAUCAGAGUGAAGUAUUGAACUAUGUCAAAUUCCUUACUGGUAGAUAAAUUAUGCAUCUGUGUAAAUCACCAAGACAGUUAUAUGCAAAAACAGUCUCAAUAAAGUAUAUAACGUAUAGAUGGACAUAUUAUGUUAAUGGAUGUGUUGAAAUGAGAAUAUGUAAUAGUCUAAUAGAUAGAAGCAUAGGCACAACAUAGUUUUCAAGUUUUUAUUGGUGACUCUUUCUUGGGUGUUAACCAGAAGGCUUGGGAAAAUUUCAGGAAUUCAAAAAAUUUAUAAUUACAAAGGAAGUAGUUUACUGAUUUUCUUACAAAAACACUAUGUCACAUGGGUGCAGGGUGUGGGUGCUGUACUUUUCAAAAAAAAAAAGGUUUGGUGCAGGUGCAGCAAAGUUGUGUGUGUGUGUGUGUGUUACACACACACACACACACACACAAACUAACACUAAACAGUAUGUGUAAAUGUAUAAACAGUAACUUGUAUGGAUAUGCUUAUAUUUUUAACUGAUUAACGAAAUUGAGAACACAUGUAUAAACAGCAAAAAGUCGACAAUGAAUCAAUGGUUUACCUUAUGCAGAUUAAGUAUUAUAAACAUUAAAUAUUAAACUGUGAAACAGCAUAAUGAUGUACUGUGUACAGCUGUAAAACAGCAUAAAUAACAGUAAAAUGGAAAUGAGAAAAAUUUAAUAACAGUCCACAGUGAUGUACCUUGUGCAGUAUAACAGCAUCAAAACAGUAAAACAUAUGCAGCAAAGUAGCAAAACAGAAACGAGAAGAUGGCAAAUGCCGCAAGUCUAUGAUCAGUGAACAAGAAAAUAAAAACAAUCAUUAGAAAAUAGAAAAUAGAAAACAUGAGAUAUAGAAAAUGAUGGGCAUGAAUGGAAAAAAGAUAAAUAAAAACCAGAGUCUGAGAGUGAAAGCUGACAUUGCGACACAGGAGGCAUGGGGGAGAAGUGCCAAUCCUUGGAAGGGAGCUUGCCAGAAGGGACCUCUCUGCAUGGGAAGAUGGGAGAGGGGAGGAGACUGCAGUCACUGGACAUCAGAUGGUAUCUCGCUAGAUGCUGGAAGGAAGCCCGUGGUAUAUCAUCAGUGAUCCUUACAAACUCCUUAAAGUCUGCCAAAUUGCUAGAGUAUAAAGGUAGUAUGUGACAUCUCUUGUCUACGUAGUGGGUGUAUUUUUGGAUGAGGUUGGCCUUUAUGACCGCUAGUAGAGAGGCAUUCUAAGCAAGUUAUUCUCCAUAAAAGUGCUUGUAAAUCACUCGAUGGGCUUAUACACCAAGGAUGAUGCAUACAUUCAUGGCAAAAGUCAUUGAAGAGCUUGGAAGGAGAUGAUGGUUAAGUUUCUGCCCUUCUAGUUAAUGUUAUGUGCAGAUGUCUGGCUAUGGCCACCAAAGUGGUUUUGCAUUUCUCCAACAAUACAAUGUAGUGGUAGCAGUUUGCUUGCUUUAGCCGACCAAAUGGGAAGAUUACAUUAAACAAGAUAGGUGACAAGCUGUCACCGGAGGUAGUGGUCCACAGCAGUUUUUCUUCCUUCAGAAAACAAGCAUUGCUGGGGCUACAUUUAUGUCUGUUUGAUUACAUAAACUAUCAUGGUACCAUGGAAAAGGAGACUAGUAUCUCUGUCAGUUUUCAAGGAGUUCGUGGUGUGGCAUUAUGAGGGUGUAAGGUGGAUUACAUUUUGCUACAACUUAGUUUUUCCAUUCUUUCCUGCCUAAACAUAAUGCUAUCUUGUUGAUGGUCUCUAAACACUCAAGUAGUGCAGUCCCCAGUGGCCAAUAGGACUGCAGGUGAGCAAUUCCAUGGUGGGUGAAUCCAUAGGUAUUCUAGAUGCAGAUGCAAGGAUUUGAUGUUCUACAAAUAUGACAGCUGUGAAAUUUGUUCUGAAAGGGACAUGUUAUACGUGGAAGGUUAUAGGGAGACAGAAUUGAUGAGUGGUAAUUUAGAGCAGGGGGUCAGAUUCUCUGUGUGUUGGGGUGAUCUGCCUGGCCUGUUCAGGGAUUCAUCCACCAUUUCUGGUCAGGAAUGGGGGGAGAGAGAGAGAGAGGGAGUUGGAUAACGCAAGGUCACGUGAUCCUUGUUAUCUGUUUCUCCUUUUAUGUUGUUUUUUUCACUGCUUGGUUUCCAGAUGCUCCUUGAUGUGAGACAGGAUUCUUUUCUGGAAUGUAUGGAGUGAUUGAUUGGUCGAGACUGGGAAGUUUCAUUUCAGUUCGAAGAUGUUUAGGGGUUCAAUCAACUCUGCCAGGUAUCAAGUGUAGUAAUUUCUGGAGCACCUGGAGCACUAGGAUGGUGCAGAAUUUCUAGGUACUAUUAGGGGUAUCAGUGUUGGGAUACAUUGCCUAACACUAAGUUCGAUUUAUUGCUUUCUGCUGUUGGAUAGUCUGACUUUAAUACCUUUGAAAGUAUCACCCCUGCUAUGCCAAUUGAUGGGGUUGGUGAUGUUAAGGAUCGAUGAUUGCUGGUCCUAGUCGUGUGUUCUAGGUCCCCUAUGGUCGAUGAUAUUUGACUAAGUUAACCGUCUUAUAUUAAUGAACUUGAUAUGCUAUAAAAAAACAUUGCAUGUUGAAAAUUCAGGAUUCUCAAGGGAAAUGCUGAAUGUCAGCUGAACUCUUUUCCUUUUGCCACAACAAUCGUGCGGAGCGAAAAGGCCCCCUAACCUUUUAUUCAACCAUUAAACAUGAACAGCAAAAAAAAACAAAACCAUCGGUUACCAAGAUGCAAAAGACACAAAGAGUCAUUAACACAAAAAGAAGUCUUCAACAAAGAUCCUCUUCUGUAGAACAAAAUUUUCAAGGCUGGUAGACACCCACAGGCCGCACUGCUGACAUAACCCUGGGUAAGGAUGAGAUUCAUGGAGUCAAUAACACAGUACGCUACCACCUUUCUUUGUCUGUACCUGGAUGCCAUUUGCAAACAUAUUUGACCUUGAUUAAUAGCCGGCCACAUGUCAGGGUGAACUCUUUUCCUUUUGGGUUUAGAUAUACCUUUAGUAAGCCAAACACAAGGAUUUUAUGCUUUUCCCUCUUAGUCAUUUCCUUUUCAGAGUUCAGCUGUUACAGAAGGCGUUCGUGAUCCUCUCUGCCCGACUAGACCACUUCCACAUUUAAAAAAAAUAAUGGUGGACCUUAUUCUGCUAUACAUUUUUGUGCUUAUGAAUGUGAUCAUAUUUAGCCUCUUGAUGAAGAUACAGUAAAGCACGGGGAUAAUAUCUAUAGUAUGAUAUCGAAGCAACAGCACCACUUGACUACUCAUUACUGCUAAACUUCAAGCUCCUGCCGUCUCAUCUGAACAUUCGGCAAACAUUUGAAGAUGGCUUAAGUCAAUCAAAGCAAUGCGCCCCAUCAAAGAUAAGAUGGUUGUUAUCCAAGCUUAGUUCACUUCUGUAAAGCUUACUAUUCUGUGCUCCUGCAACUGUUUUAGGACAUUUUAUUCUGUUGCUUAGUGCUAAUACACGAGGUUUGAUUGCCGCAGAUGGUGGUUAGGUGCAAACAACCGAUGGAUAUUGUUGGAUGGAGUUAAUAGCUUUCUGUUGUCGUGUGUUUCCGUUGUUUACAAGCUACAUUUUCUGAACUUCUCAGGAAAGUUGAUCCACUUUGGAACUAUUCAACAGGUACGCUCGCUGUGCAUGAUUGCAAACAUGUAUGCAGUAUGCUCACGGAGACGAAGAUUCGAACUCCACAGGUGCCUUCAAAUAUGACAAUAUUAUAGAUAGCUUUAAUAAUGGUAUAGAAAGAGUCUUACAUUGAAUUGUUGAAAAUCAAAAUUUUAUUAAAAAAUGGAAAAAAAAGCAUGUGUGUAUCCUAUUAUUCAGUUAAAAUGAUCAAACCCUCAAAUGAUAUGUUUGCAACAGAUUUUCUGAUAUA